rnacentral:rRNA from 1 species
UACGUAGGGUGCAAACGUUGCUCGGAAUCAUUGGGCGUAAAGCGCACGUAGGCGGCUUCGCAAGUCGGAUGUGAAAUCCCUCGGCUCAACCAAGGACGUGCAUCCGAAACUGCGAAGCUUGAGUACAGAAGAGGAUCGCGGAAUUCCCGGUGUAGAGGUGAAAUUCGUAGAUAUCGGGAGGAACACCAGUGGCGAAGGCGGCGAUCUGGGCUGAUACUGACGCUGAGGUGCGAAAGCGUGGGGAGCAAGCAGG